UGGGGAAUAUUGGACAAUGGGCGAAAGCCUGAUCCAGCCAUGCCGCGUGUGUGAAGAAGGUCUUCGGAUUGUAAAGCACUUUAAGUUGGGAGGAAGGGCAUUAACCUAAUACGUUAGUGUUUUGACGUUACCGACAGAAUAAGCACCGGCUAACUCUGUGCCAGCAGCCGCGGUAAUACAGAGGGUGCAAGCGUUAAUCGGAAUUACUGGGCGUAAAGCGCGCGUAGGUGGUUUGUUACGUUGGAUGUGAAAUCCCCGGGCUCAACCUGGGAACUGCAUUCAAAACUGACUGACUAGAGUAUGGUAGAGGGUGGUGGAAUUUCCUGUGUAGCGGUGAAAUGCGUAGAUAUAGGAAGGAACACCAGUGGCGAAGGCGACCACCUGGACUAAUACUGACACUGAGGUGCGAAAGCGUGGGGAGCAAACA
rnacentral:rRNA from 1 species